AAUCAACGCUGGCGGCGUGCCUAACACAUGCAAGUCGAGCGCGAAAGGGGAGCAAUCCCCGAGUAGAGCGGCGAACGGGUGAGUAACGCGUGGGUAACCUGCCCUCGAGUGGGGAAUAACCCCGGGAAACUGGGGCUAAUACCGCAUGACAUCCCUGACUCCAUGAGCCGGGGAUCAAAGCCGGGGAUCGCAAGACCUGGCGCUUGAGGAGGGGCCCGCGUCCGAUUAGCUUGUUGGCGGGGAACGGCCCACCAAGGCUCCGAUCGGUAGGGGGUGUGAGAGCAUCGGGCCCCCCACC
rnacentral:rRNA from 1 species